rnacentral:rRNA from 1 species
UAGGAAAUCUUCGGCAAUGGGGGCAACCCUGACCGAGCAACGCCGCGUGAGUGAAGAAGGUUUUCGGAUCGUAAAGCUCUGUUGUAAGAGAAGAACGUGUGUGAGAGUGGAAAGUUCACACAGUGACGGUAACUUACCAGAAAGGGACGGCUAACUACGUGCCAGCAGCCGCGGUAAUACGUAGGUCCCGAGCGUUGUCCGGAUUUAUUGGGCGUAAAGCGAGCGCAGGCGGUUUAAUAAGUCUGAAGUUAAAGGCAGUGGCUUAACCAUUGUUCGCUUUGGAAACUGUUAAACUUGAGUGCAGAAGGGGAGAGUGGAAUUCCAUGUGUAGCGGUGAAAUGCGUAGAUAUAUGGAGGAACACCGGUGGCGAAAGCGGCUCUCUGGUCUGUAACUGACGCUGAGGCUCGAAAGCGUGGGGAGCAAACAGG